rnacentral:lncRNA from 1 species
AGAGAAACCGAGCUGCGUUCUUCGUGUUCUUCGUAAUCAAACGAGGAUUUGAAGGUGUUAUUGGAAUCCGAUGGAGGUGUAUGAAUAGUCAAAACGAAGCUAUCGACGCGUAGAAUCUAUUACUAUCAGUGGUUUCAGUGCAGAAUCGACAGGUUUUUGCUAAUUAAGGUUUUUAAUUUCGAAUUUAUAUGAUUUAAAUGAUGAAUUUUUGAAAACGUGAUUGUUUAAUUGUUUUGAUGAUUCUAUGAUGUAGAGCAUGUUUUUCUCGUCGUUUUGGUAUAUUAUAUGUCAAAAACGGAGUUCAAUAACAUGUAGAAAAGUCAGUUUGAUUAUUGAAACUGUUGUUCUUGGUGUUCUUGAGAAAGCUCGCCGGAAAAUUCUUGUUUUGGUCGGGAUUUUGAUUCGUUAAACCUGGGCAGAAGCUAAGCAUACCAUUGAAUAGAUCUUUGAGAGUAUAAUUGAGUGGUGGUGUCAGUUUGUUCAAAGGAGGCGAAACGAGUUCGCCGGAAAAUGGAGAAGUCGGCGGUGGCGCCGACCUUCAACCGGGUUUUACGGCAAAUUGGUGAAGUGCUUGUGAAAUCUGAAAAUACGAGUGGAUUGCUGGACAUCUGUAGAGUAUAUCUGCAGCUGGUGGUCGAGUUCUGGGCUCGAUGGAGCCUCCGGCGACGUCUCCGACGUCGUUCGGCGACGGUAGGGGGUGAUGACUGUAUAAUUACAGUUUAACCCCCGAACAAAUGAAGGUGGUGACUUUUAGUCACCCGAGUUUCAAAUCUUUCAAAACAAACCCUGAUACUUCGAAAACUUGCACUUUCAACCCUGCGUUUAAACUUUUGAAUAGUAACAAUUAAAACCUUUUCAAUUAUUUUUCAAAAAUUAUUUUUUUGGUCAUUUUUUUAUAGUUUUUAAUUAUUUCUUUAUUCAAAAACAAAUCGAAAUUAGUUUAUUAAUUAAUUUCAAUUGGUAAUUAAUUAUAUUAAUUGAUCAAUUAAUUUAAAUAUUAAUUGAUUAAUUAAUUUAAUUAGUUAUUAAUUGAUUUUAAUUGAUUAAUUAAUUGGAUUUAAUUAUCCUUUUUGAUUUAAAAAUUCCGAAAAAUAGUUUCGAGCUUUAAAAUAUUUUUCCAAAUCAUGUUCAAGGCUCGACAAUUGUUUAUGAAUGAUUUCAAGUCCAGUUUUGAGCAUCCGGACUUGAUUAUUUAUUUGAAAAAUGAUUCUUUUAUCCGUUUUAAUUCCGAAAAUGUUUAAAAAUUCCAGAAAAUUCCCGAAAAAAAAUCAUUUUUAACCCAAGAGUGAUUUGAUAUCAAUUGGGGUGGGAAACCUUAUAUGUAAUGUGUUAUCUGCUUUGUGUGUGAUGUGUUAUAUGUUGAUAGUGGAGUCAGAAAACGGCUUAGAUCAUAACUUUUGAUCUGUAAGUCGGAAUCAAGUGAAACGAAAGAGAGAUAGAAGCUCGUGAAGUCUAUUUUAAUAUGACAAGAUAAUAUGAUUGAAUCUAGAAUGUGAUUAUAUGCUAUGUAAUAUGCAAUAUGUAACCAUACGUGAUUUGUUUGUUAUGAAUUGAUGAUUACGUGAUAUAUGUGGUUAUUCCUAAUAUAGUACAUAUGUGAUAAAUGACUUAUAUGACAUAGUGUCAUGAUUUGAUAAGAACAUAUGGAUUAUAGGAAUUGGAAUUGGUUGAUUGGUUGUUGGUUGGGAAUAGGUUGACAGGUGGAUAGUCUUAUAACUAGACAAGAUGCUGGCAGAUUUUCGAUAUGAUUUAUAUGAUUAUUGAUUAUAACAUGUUAUGUAGAAUAUGACUUGACUAUAUGAUAAAGUCAAAGAAUGAUUAUGUGCUAAGUGAUAUGUGAUAAGUUUAAAGGGGUAUAUAAGUGGGUAUCGAUAUACGUGAUAUGUAUAUGCGAUAUAUUGUUUAGUGACUAUAGUAUUAUCUUAUUCUCGUAAAGGAUUUGGACGAGACGUGUACGCUCGAAGACGUCAGAAAGUCGGAAUGGUAUUGCAAAGCGAAUAAGGGAUGAAUCGAGUAAGCGAAGCGAUGUGGCGAAUAG